ensembl:lncRNA uncharacterized LOC115198511
CCCCCCCCUCCUAGACAUAGGGACCAUUAGAGACAGGUGGAGAGACGGACAGACGGAUGCACACACACAUUUACAAGCCACCUGUAGUUUUAGGCCUACUAGCUAACAGGUAUAUAAAUAGGAACAAAUGUUUCUUUCACCUAUGUUUCUUUUUACCUAUGUAACACACCCGUGCGAGUCAUUGACUGCACAUUCUCCUUAUGGCGAGGACAACUGGUCGGGUCGCAUUUUAUCGCUUGGAUGAAAAGAGGAAGGGGAGGGAAAUCAAACACGCCUACGUAUUCUGUCCAUCAAUCAUCCAAUCACCAGUACAUGCAGCGCGGACCGCUUGCCAAGUCGCGCGGUUGGAAAUACUAGUUUGGCAACUAGCGAGUUCAUUUCAGUACAAACUUUCGUUUAGUGCAGACAAUAGCUUGCUGGGUCGGAUAUCAACGCAACAACCAUGGAUAAGGAGGAGGAGAGGGAAGAGGCACAGAGUGAGCCGGUGGAGGGGUUUUUGGGGGAGAGAAGACCGAGCAUCAUGAGACUACAGGGGAUGCUGAGGAGAGUCUCCCAAAGUCCCUUCCGCAAACAAUACAGGACUCCUAUCCCCUCCACUUCAGAAUCCAGAGAUUCCUCCCCUAAUGGCACUCACCUGAAGCAGAAUGGAAUCAAUCGUAGCUUGUCAAAAGAGAAUCCAUUCUACUCUUAUAUGAAAGAAUCGAGCAGUGUGACUAUUGACGGGGACACUAAGAAUCAGGAUUCAGAGGUUCUACGUCAGCAGAGUUUAGCCACCAUCUUUGCUCCUCCGCCUGAGGUUCAGAGCACACCAGAGGACAUCAAACCUGACAAACAGACAGACAACAACCUUCAGACCACACCAUCUGACCAGCAGACAUAUAUUUUCAAAACCAUGUCUGAAAGACGGUCACCGGAUCUCUUCAAAACAACGGCCCUAACUCAAAACCCACCAAAUCUGAUCCCUAGUCCUUUAUUUGUCACAACUUCUGAAAGACUGGAGCUUUGGACAACUCCUUCGAACCAACAGGACCUAUUCAAAACUCCGCCUUCAAAAACACCAGACCCAUUCCAAGCUCCUCCAACCAAGGGAGAUUACCUAUUCAAUGCUCCUCCCACCAAGGGAGAGGACCUAUUCCAAACUCUACCCACCAAGGGAGAUGACCUUUUCCGAGCCCCAUUGUCCAUUCAAAAAGACCCCUUCCAAUCCACUCCUUCUGACACUCCCAAUCUCAUUCAAGCCACGCCUACUAGGUCAAAUGACCCUUUCCAAAUUCCCCCCUCCAAUGUGACACCAGACAUCUUUCAGCCCCUGCCUUCCAGGACAUGGGACAUUUUCCAUUCCUCGCCCAAUGACAUCUUUCAGAGUGCUUCUUUCAGUACUGACUCUACAGUCAAACAGUCCACACCUUUAUUCCAGACUUCAUCAGGGCAGAAAACAGACAUCUUCUCAGGGUCAGAUUUUGAGAAGACUGCUGAGCUCUUCAAUGCAUCACUCUCCAACACGCAGGAUUUCAACCUUGCAACACCCUCUGAUGAACAGUAUGAUAUCUUCCUGAUGACCCCUCACGGAACCAAACAUGUUCUCCAACCCACCCCUACUGCCUUGAAACAUGGUACCCUCCAUUCCAGAUCCCUGUCCCCAACGCAGGCUUUCAAUGGUUCCCCCCAGGUGAAGACCUCCAACAGCCCUUCCAAACCAGCUCCUCGAAAAAGACAGCCCGAGUUAGCAAGUCGUACCGAAGCUGAGCGACCAGAUCCUAAACCAGCUCCUCAAACGAAGAACACAGCUCAGGACAACAAAUUAGAGGAAGUGGAGGUAUUUGAGAACAUUCUUUUGACUGGCCAGGAGAGAUGUGUGGAGGAUUGGCCUGAAAACAGUCCUGAGCUCAAUCCUGACUGGAAACCUUCUGGCAAGCUGAGGCUUAGGAGGGAGUCAAUGAAGGUGGCAGCAGACUCUGAUGGGGGGAGUGUAGAAGAACUGGAAGAGAAUGACGCCGGAAAACAUGCCAAAACUAAAAGGGGGAGGACGUUCAAGGUAUCCUUUCUUUCCAGAAGAGGGUCAAAGGAUAAAUAUUCUGAAGACCUGAAGGAUCGUGACAGCGGCACACUACGUCGAGGAUCAAAGGAGAGAUUUUCUGAAUCCAAGGAUGGAGAGAGCAAUAGUCUCCGCUGGCGGUCAAAGGAGGGCUUUUUGGAUGAAGACUUCGCAAAGAAAGGGGUAGAUGUCUUCUCUGCAGAUUACGAAGAUAAGGAGAAUUACAUGGAGCACGGCAAGCCGAAGAAAUCAUUCAAAUUCAAGAUGCCCCUUGUGCAUCGCAGAGGAUCUAAGGAUCGAUUUUCAGCUGACCAUCUUGAGAAAGCUUCAGGCCUACAUUUGCCUCAACAUAGAGCGAAUGAGGGCUUGCUAGAUGAUGACUUUCCUCAGAAGGAAGUAGGAUUCAUAUCUCCAGGGGAGAAUGAAGAUGAAGAACAUAAUGGGAUGGAAUACUCCAAACAGGCCAUGGGUUUGGAUGAGAACUCUGAAGAGGAGGCAGAGGAACGUGAUGGGAUGGGUGGAUUUAAAAAAAGUCAACGUGUCAAAAUUAAGUUUGUGCCUCACAGAGGGUUCGCAAUCUGCCUCGAAAAGGAUGAACCAACAGGCGCUCAUGGAUACACACCUCGUAGAGGUUCAAAGAUGAUUCAUGAGAAACCUCUUGAUGAAUUUAAAGGUGCCCAUGGUUAUACACCCCGCAAGGAGUCCAAGGUUAAUAUUUUUGAGGAAACCGACGAAGUGAAAGGCUACACCCCGCACUCACACCCCAAGCAGAGCUUUUUGGAUGAUUACUUACCUCAGAAGGGGGCAGGUUUCUCCUCAGCAGGAGAGGUAGAAGAAUAUCAACAGAAUGUGAUGGAAGACUGCAAAGCGAAGAAACCGUUCAAAUUAAAAGUCCUACAUAUGAAUCGUCGGAAAUCUGGGAGUGCUGAGGAGAAUUCUCAGACUAGUGGUACACAACAGUACUCCCCACAAAGGAGAUCAGAGGAGGGCUUUCUGGACAGUGAUGUGCCUCAGAAGGGAGCAGAUCUCUUCUAUGCUGGACAGAUAGAAGAUGAACAGAAUGAGAUGGAAGACUGGAAACCGAAGAAACCAUCGAAAUUUAAGAACCAACUUGCAAGUCGGCGCAAGUCAAACCAAAUCCAGGAAACAUUUCUAUAUGAAAAGUCACAGAUUGGUUCAGAGCGCUACACACCUCGACGAGCAUCCCAUGAGGGCUUUCUGGACAAUGACACUUCUCAGAGGAGGUCAGAUCUCUUCUCAGCAGGAGGGAACGGAGAUGAUUAUGGACAGGAUGAUAUAGAAGACUGCAAACCAGUACUUCUACUACUUUAUAAACAUCCUUCAUUUACUGUGUGA